GAUGAAGAACGCAGCAAAAUGCGAUAAGUAAUGUGAAUUGCAGAAUUCAGUGAAUCAUCGAGUCUUUGAACGCACAUUGCGCCCCCUGGUAUUCCGGGGGGCAUGCCUGUCCGAGCGUCAUUGCUGCCCUCAAGCACGGCUUGUGUGUUGGGCCUCCGUCCUCCUCCCGGGGGACGGGCCCGAAAGGCAGCGGCGGCACCGCGUCCGGUCCUCGAGCGUAUGGGGCUUCGUCACCCGCUCUUGUAGGCCCGGCCGGCGCUUGCCGACACAUCAAUCUUUUUUCCAGGUUGACCUCGGAUCAGGUAUGGAUACCCGCUGAACUUAAGCAUAUCAAUAAGCGGAGGA
rnacentral:misc_RNA from 1 species